UGCAAGUCGAACGAACUUAACCAUUAGUUUACUAUUGGAGCGGUUAGUGGCGGACUGGUGAGUAACACGUAAGCAACCUGCCUAUCAGAGGGGAACAACAGUUAGAAAUGACUGCUAAUACCGCAUAUGCCUUAGAAUCACAUGGUUCAAAAGGGAAAGGAGCAAUCCGCUGAUAGAUGGGCUUGCGUCUGAUUAGCUAGUUGGUGGGGUAACGGCCUACCAAGGCGACGAUCAGUAGCCGAACUGAGAGGUUGAACGGCCACAUUGGGACUGAGAUACGGCCCAGACUCCUACGGGAGGCAGCAGUCGGGAAUAUUGCGCAAUGGAGGAAACUCUGACGCAGUGACGCCGCGUGCAGGAAGAAGGUUUUCGGAUUGUAAACUGCUUUAGACAGGGAAGAACAAAGACAGUACCUGUAGAAUAAGCUCCGGCUAACUACGUGCCAGCAGCCGCGGUAAUACGUAGGGAGCGAGCGUUAUCCGGAUUUAUUGGGUGUAAAGGGUGCGUAGACGGGAAGUCAAGUUAGUUGUGAAAUCCCUCGGCUUAACUGAGGAACUGCAACUAAAACUGAUUUUCUUGAGUACUGGAGAGGAAAGUGGAAUUCCUAGUGUAGCGGUGAAAUGCGUAGAUAUUAGGAGGAACACCGGUGGCGAAGGCGACUUUCUGGACAGAAACUGACGUUGAGGCACGAAAGUGUGGGGAGCAAACAGGAUUAGAUACCCUGGUAGUCCACACCGUAAACGAUGGAUACUAGGUGUAGGGAAUAUUAAAAUUCUCUGUGCCGCCGCUAACGCAAUAAGUAUCCCACCUGGGGAGUACGGCCGCA
rnacentral:rRNA from 1 species